GACGAACGCUGGCGGCGUGCUUAACACAUGCAAGUCGAACGGUGAAGCGCCUUCCUUUUUGGUGGGUGUGGAUGAGUGGCGAACGGGUGAGUAACACGUGAGUAACCUGCCCCCUUCUUCUGGAUAACCGCAUGAAAGUGUGGCUAAUACGGGAUAUUCUGGGUCUGUCGCAUGAUGGGUCUGGGAAAGAUAUUGUUUCGGUGGGGGAUGGGCUCGCGGCCUAUCAGCUUGUUGGUGGGGUGAUGGCCUACCAAGGCGGUGACGGGUAGCCGGCCUGAGAGGGUGGACGGUCACACUGGGACUGAGCCACGGCCCAGACUACUACGGGAGGCAGCAGUGGGGAAUAUUGCACAGUGGGCGCAAGCCUGAUGCAGCGACGCCGCGUGAGGGAUGGAGGCCUUCGGGUUGUGAACCUCUUUCGCCAGUGAAGCAGGCCUGCCUCGUUUGUGGGUGGGUUGACGGUAGCUGGAGAAGAAGCGCCGGCUAACUACGUG
rnacentral:rRNA from 1 species